UAAAAUACAGCUAAAAGCCCGAAGAGAGAUGACAUACUCACCGUCUUAACGCGUGUGAACAGGAAGGUCAACAACCAUUGUUUGAUACCUAGUAGGCAGAUGCCAGAGCCCAAAUACACUCUCACCAAGAGGCUCGUCUUGAGAUUUGUUUGAACUGUCUGGAACCGUGCCUACGUAUUAAAUGAUCUGAUGUGCGCUGGACUCUAGUUUACAAGUGUGUCUGGAUAUGAGUCUUUGAGUUUCUGAAUGGUUCUGUUUGAUAGGUGAAUUUUUGCAUUUUGGUCAAUCGAACAUAAAAGUUGUCAUAGAAUCACAUAUUUUGAAAUGUAUGAAAUAAAUCGAUAAGAAAAUGAAAAAAGGUC